CCAGACUCCUACGGGAGGCAGCAGUGAGGAAUAUUGGACAAUGGUCGGAAGACUGAUCCAGCCAUGCCGCGUGCAGGAUGAAGGUCUUAUGGAUUGUAAACUGCUUUUGUAAGGGAAGAAUAAGGGCUACGCGUAGUUUGAUGACGGUACCUUACGAAUAAGCAUCGGCUAACUCCGUGCCAGCAGCCGCGGUAAUACGGAGGAUGCGAGCGUUAUCCGGAAUCAUUGGGUUUAAAGGGUCUGUAGGCGGGCUGGUAAGUCAGAGGUGAAAGCGCUUAGCUCAACUAAGCAACUGCCUUUGAAACUGUUGGUCUUGAAUGGUUGUGAAGUAGUUGGAAUGUGUAGUGUAGCGGUGAAAUGCUUAGAUAUUACACAGAACACCGAUAGCGAAGGCAUAUUACUAACAAUUAAUUGACGCUGAUGGACGAAAGCGUGGGGAGCGAACAGGAUUAGAUACCCUGGUAGUCCACGCUGUAAACGAUGGAUACUAGCUGUUUGGUUUAAGGAUUGAGUGGCUAAGCGAAAGUGAUAAGUAUCCCACCUGAGGAGUACGUUCGCAAGAAUGAAACUCAAAGGAAUUGACGGGGGCCCGCACAAGAAGGGCGAA
rnacentral:rRNA from 1 species